CAGAAAGAGAAGAGGGCCUCCCGGUGAAGAUGGACAGCCCGGAACGACUAACCCUCCCCACCGGACGGUCCCUGCAGCAUAGAUGGCCCGGACCAGCUCACCCUUCCUUCCCACCGAGGGGAGAGGAAUCCGCUCACACACGCAUUGCUGUGUAUGGAGAUGGCACCGGUCAGAGCGGGUCAUAUCAGCCAGCUGGCAUACGGAAUGUCUUUUCUGGGUGACAAGACUUCCGUGUAGAGUUCACGUAAUAAAGAUGAAUUACUUCUUUAUCCAUGUCAAAGCCAUAGUCAAGAAAACCACCAAGGAUAAAU